AACGUAGGAGGCAAGCGUUGUCCGGAUUUACUGGGCGUAAAGCGCGUGCAGGCGGUCUGGUAAGUUGGAUGUGAAAGCUCCCGGCUCAACUGGGAGAGGUCGUUCAAAACUGCCAGACUAGAGGACGGUAGAGGGAGGUGGAAUUCCGGGUGUAGUGGUGAAAUGCGUAGAUAUCCGGAGGAACACCAGUGGCGAAAGCGGCCUCCUGGACCGUCCCUGACGCUCAGACGCGAAAGCUAGGGGAGCAAACGGG
rnacentral:rRNA from 1 species